UACAGAGGUCCCAAGCGUUGUUCGGAUUUACUGGGCGUAAAGGGUGCGUAGGCGGUUGGGUAAGUCUGACGUGAAAUCUCCGAGCCUAACUCGGAAACUGCGUUGGAUACUAUCCGGCUAGAGGAAUGGAGGGGAGACUGGAAUACUUGGUGUAGCAGUGAAAUGCGUAGAUAUCAAGUGGAACACCAGUGGCGAAGGCGGCUUCCUGGACCGGUUCUGACACUGAGGAGCGAAAGCGUGGGGAGCGAUCCGG
rnacentral:rRNA from 1 species